GCUCACUUUGGCAGAUCAUAAACAAAAAUUUGAAUGAUACAGAGAUUAUCACGGCCCCUUUGCAAGGAUGGCAUGCAAAUUUGUGAAGCAUUCCACAAUUUA